UCAAACCCUAAAAUCCUGCCGCCGACAACAAGCGUUAACCAUGGUUCACAGAUGACUUUGUAAUCCAUAUUUAAUGUUGUUUCUAUUUUCUUCUUCAAUUUUUCCGGGCUUUUACUUCAACAUGGAUGAAGUUAACUCAAGGCGACAUCACACAUACAUAUUGAAGUCACACUAGAAGGAAUUGAAGUCUUGGUGAAAGGAAUUGAAGUCAUGGUGAAAGGAAUUAUAUUAACCUCACCAACGCUGCACAUGAAGCCACCUCAAGCAUUAUUAAGUCAUUAAAUUUGCUGUCAUUAUCAAAGACUGUUCGACGUACAUGUAAAGGCUACAUGUGACAUACAUAUUGAUGACCAUCAUACAAAUGAAGAUAUUGAUCUUGCUAUUGGAACGGUACUGCCAACAACUAUGUGAGCUGCAGUUUGAAAUUUCAAGACUUUUGAAGCUUCCUACCCUUAUAUUGUUUGGAAACUAGGUUUUGAUACCGGAUUAAUAAAUCGGAUGAUAAUGUUUCUACUAAAGACACAAUUUUCAGCCACCGAGAUAAAGAUAAUCACCAUCAACGUGCUCUCCUUCAUAUAGAUGGUCAUGUGCAUUGUUAAAAAUUUGAGAUAACCGGGCUAGCUUUCUCAAUGUUUGAUCCUGACUAUAUGUAUAUUCAAAGGGUGGAUAAUGAGGUCAUUCUUUUAUAAAAUAAUUUCAUGAGAAAUGUAAAACUAUCGAGUUCAAUAAGAUAACGCGGCAUAAAAAAUAAUGAAAAGAGUGUCAUUCUUAGUGCUGUCGACAAAGAUAUUGAGAUGCCCUUACCACCUUUAGCUCUGACUCCAAUUCGACAUGGAAUCAGGUGGGUUUGAUUGGUUAGCAAAAACGCUUCUUUCAAUAAUGUCAUGAUUUCUUACCACCUUUUAUGCAUAUAUAUAUAUAUAUAUGUGUGUGUGUGUGUGUGUGUGUUAUUUACUACUGGUCUACUACUGUUGGUAUUCCUUAGUUAUCUUACUCUAUUGAGGCAUUGCUUUGUAUUGCUGCUGGGAGUUUUGAUUACUUGGCAUAUAUUUGUGCAAGUGAGGCCCUGUUGGUGGAGUAAUUGAGAGGCUAAUCAGAAGUGAUUGUGUCUUUGCAUUCUUAUGUGGCUAACAUAUGAUUCGACGGGAGUAAUGAUGUAUAUCUGGUGAAGAAUUAUUGGGUAUGUAUCUCUGGUGAAGAAAUUUACUCUUGUGCUGAUAUUUCAUCUCAUACUGAAGUUUUAGCAUAUUUGACAGGAAUUGACUCAUAUUCUAAAUCAUUCCAUAGUGCUUUACUUUUACAGGAAUUAACUCAUUUAUAUUUUAUUUGGUUUCUUUAACUAUAAAAAAUAGAAAUGGUUCUUUUUAUUCAUAAUGUCAUUUUUUUAAGUUUAUAACUCCAUUUUCAAUAAAAUGCAAAUUAUUCAGAAAGUGGAUUGCUCAUCACAAAUUACAUUGUUUAAAGUUAAAAAAUUACAUUUUGUUAAAACUUAUGUAUUGAGAACUUAACUUAUAUCACAUGAAUAUGUUUAAGUGGUUAAGUGCGAACGAGUGAGAUUCAAAUUAUUGAUUAUGUAAACGAUUUUGAUGUUGUUUCAAUUUCGAUUUUGUGGUUCUAUUUGAGCUUCACGGUUAUGUUUGGGGUUCGCGAAGGUUUUCUGUUGCAAAGUUUGGAUUCUAGCAGAGCUAUUUCACGGUUCAGAUUUUGCAUUCGAGCCAAAUUUUCGGUGUGUGUAACUAUGCAGCUCACAGUAUCUGUUUUGCACCAUUCACUUGCACAAAAAACAGGAGCAUCACUGCCAGGACCAGUUCCCUUAUUCCGGUGUUCCUUUCUUCAUCUCUUUAUAGUCCUUUUAAACAAGGAU